CCGGGCACGGCUGGGAGCUGCGGGGCCGGGCCGCUGAACUGCCCCUGUCUUGUGCCUCAGGGUAUUUUUGUAAGUGAACUUAAUUGUGGUGAUUGAAUAAUUUUUUGUCCUUCAGCUAUGGUUACUGUGAAGUAAAGAAGGCGGUGUUCAUUCUCCUGCACCGUAGCACCGUCUCAACAAAGAGAAGUGACGGGAAACAUGGACAUCAAAGCUGCUCCUCCAGAAGCAGUGCUGUGGGCAGCAGCAUUGCUUUUCUGAACACGGGAACACUGCAGCUCCCACCAGGAGAGCCAUUCCAGGCUAACAGAACACUAAGGAAACAUUAAAUGCUGAAACUACUGCAAUGGAAGAAAGAACAGCCAGGUAAGGCACUGCUUUUCAUCACUGCCCCCUUGGAGAGAAAUCGUCCUGUAGCAGCUCUCCUUUCAAGGGUUUUACUCAGCUGAGCUGUCCCAUUGCCAUAACAGUUGUUUGCAUAAAAUCAGGUGAAGAUCUGAUCUACCCUCACAGUAUAGUGAAAAGCUAAUUUGGUUUAAUCUCUUCCCCUUACAUACUGAAGGCCAACACAAUACAGCAGGAGGGAGUGUCAGAGACAAGAUGCAUUUGUGAUUCAAAUUGCAAGCUAAUAUUUGAUGAAGCGGAGAAUGAUUAUUUGGAUUUUCUAUUUCAAACAAGACUGCAUGAAAUCACUAAGAGAGUUGAAGAAACCAAAUUUUUACUCAUCAUCACAAGAAAGCAGAUUUUGAUGCAUUACCUGUGGUGUUUGGUGUAGUGCCAGUCCUGUGGAGGCUUCUUUGGGUUGUUUUCUUGCUAAUCAUUUAUCAUUUCAAGUUCUGCCCUAAACACCUUUUUUAAGAUUUGCUUUUUAUAUUGAACCAAUGGUUGUGACCUUCAGAAUGUUGUACAGCAGUGGGGUUUUUCACUGGUCUGCUAAAGGAAACAUAUUUUCUCAUCUCUAGAUUUUAAGAACAGUUUUUGCAACAGACGAAAUUAAUUUUAAACCAGUUAUAAGUCUGAAAACGACACAGUCACAAAAAUUAUUCCUCUGUUUCAUUAUUUAUAGCUUGGAAGAUGUAACAACAAAACCUAUAAAUGCAAAGGACUGUUUGCUUAAACCUUGUUACAUGUGAUCUUUGAUUAUAAAUUACUGCUUUAUUUUCAGUAAGUAUUUUACAGUAACACUUUCCAUGAAGGCAAGAAGAGUGAAACCUUUAAAAUGCUGUGUACACAAGGGUGAAUUAAUAUAUAUUGCCAAAUAUUGAAGCACAUUUGUUUCAGACGGCUCCUCUGGCCAGUGCUCUGACCUGCAGAUGUUGAAAAGGAAGCCAGAUUCUUCUAGCUGUUAUAUUUAACUGCAAAGUGUCUGCUGUGGGAGUUGGCAAUUUUGACACAUGUGUUUAGUUACUUUUCUUACAUGAAAAGAAAAAUCUUCAGCUGAUGUGGCCCGGAAGUUGGUAAGAGUUGUGUUGUUUUACAAGUGAGGAUGUGGCUCAGCAUGGAAUAUUCUGCUUCUUCCCCCACCCCAAGGUGCAGGUCUUUGCAGUGAAUGGCACUGUAGGCCAUUGGCUGGUACUGGAGAAAUAAAGAGGAGGAGAAAAGGAUGUAAGUAGUCCAUUUUUGCAAGGAAUUCACUUAAUGGGAUAUUUUGCUGCAAUGAUUUGAUGUAUUUUUCCCAAACAUCCUAAAUACGGUACUUUUUUUCCAGGCUUUGGGGCAGAGUAAUUUCAAAUUACUGGCGAUCUUGAACAGCUAGGCCUUGUACAGAUCUAUUCAACAAUGUGAAUUUAGAUUUGUGGCAAUUUUCUUUCUGCAUCACUUUUCUCAAUCGGCAUCUGCAUCCUUGGCAAACAUUUUAACAAGUGUACUUAGAAGUUGAGCUUUAGUUUCAGGGGUUAUUUAUAAUAUCAUGUUUGAGUAAAAGGGUAAAUUUUGAUGAGCAGACAUUAUUGAUAUCUGAAUAAUGUCUUGUACUGUUUAGAUCAACUCAAAUCCUAAAACAUUUGUUACUUGUUAUAUUAUUCUGAUUUUGUUUCUCUGGUACUUAUUGCCACUAUCUCUGGAUAGCUAUACAUUAUUUUAAACCCUAAUGCUUCCCUGGUUCUCCCUUUCUUCCUCAGAUUAACACAGGAAUCCUUAAUGGGGUAUCUGAGUUGUUGUUGAGGCAGUGCUCAGAAUUUUGUGCUCUGCUUCCAGAGAAGAGUGCUGCACUUCAUGGGAACAGUGAGGAAGCAGCAGGUCUCUACUGCUCCUACGCACUGCCUUGGAGCCACUGCAGCAUCUUCCUUCCUCAAAGCAGCUCUGGGUCCAACCCUGCCAAGAUCUAGAGCUGGAAAAUAUAUUGCAAUCCCAAAGUAGUAGGAUUUGAUCUAAAAAAAAAACCCCACAAUCAGCAUAUUAGUCAUUACUUUUCUUCCUGUAUUAUUUCUAACUUUCUAGGUUGCAUAAGUACUUCAAAGGGCAAAAGGCAGAGGUAUCCAUGUUGGUCAUCAAAGUAUCUUAAACCUUGGAAAGUGCUUUUUAUUUGGUCUGACUUGCUUGAGAUACGUACAGUAGACAAGUAGCCAUUAGAAAAGUUAGAAUUUACGUUUUAAAAGUUACACAGGUGACACACUAUUUUUACUGAUUCUUAUUUUUAGAUGAUUUCAAAUUACCUUAGAAAUUGAUAGGUUGGUGCAGCCCUGUAUCUUGUAUAAAAACUACAAGACAAAGACAAAAGUUUACUAAUGAUUGCUAUUUAUUGUGUUAAGUCAAUAAAAAGUGCAUAGUACAAGCCCUUUAUCCCAAUCCAAGUACUCAGUAAAAGACUACUAGGAAACUGCAAAUGGCACAGAUGAUUUUUUGUUUGGCAUAAUUCAGAUAUUUUAAACCACCGAUUUAUAUUAAGUACAUGACAUCUUCACUCUUCCUUUUUCAAUCAUUAAUAUUACAAGGCUAAGUGAUCUGCAGACAGUGCAUGAAUACAUAUGAUUUCUCAUUUCAGAGUAUAGUAAUUGUGUUAAGCAGACUCUAAAAAUACUAUUGUUUUAACAAAGUUAAGGUAUAAUUGUAAAUUUCCUUCCAUAUUUUCCAAGUAGCUACAACUUGCACCUCUGACUAACCAAGCUUAAAACCAUCAUUACAGAACUGAUCAUACCCUGGAGCUUUGCAUACCACUAAUCUCUUCCCAAGAUUUACCAUAAACAUCUGUAACCAUGAUACAAUUAUUUAAUCACAAAUUACAUCACUGAAGGCCAGAUUUCUGCCACCCUUACUAAAGCUGCUACUAGUACAUUAUCUCAGAGUAGUUGCACAAACUUCAGUGCAACUACUUGAUGAGUAAGGCACUAUUUAACACAAAUAAGAGUGGCAAAAUACAGUCCUAUGGUUACUUACUUUUAUUUUAAUUAAGAGUGCUGAUCUGAAUUUUAUAUCUUGGAGACAGUAUCUGAAUUUAAAAGGCGUUUUGAUGUGGGAUAGUGGCCUGGCUCUUUAGUAAAACAUUUUACAAUAAAAUAUUUCCAAUGCUUUUUUUCUUUUACAUAGAAAAUUUAAAAUAGCAAUUUACAUGAGAAAAGCAUACAUGUAUAAAAUCACUGGGACAAUUAGAGGAAUUUUAAGCAAAGACAUUUAAUUUAAAGGUAAACCACAACAUUCCUCUGAACAAAAAGUUCAUUUGCCAAGACUCUUAGAGCUGGGUGCACGUGGUAAGUUUUAUAAAUACAUAAACAGACAUUUAAGUGAGACUGAUCCUCACAAGUGAGGAGUAUCUCCUGUAAAUCUCACCAACUCCCAGUAGCAUAAGGAGUAGUGCUCUGAAUAGAAGCCUGUUUCAGUUGGCUUUUUAAUCAAUUGGAAGCUUGUUUUAUGCCUCCAAUAGUGAAGAAUUCUGGCCAAAAAUCCUUGGAGAAAAAAGGUCAGUAUGGGAGAUUAUAUACAUUUCCUUGUGGGUUCAACAAAAUCAUGCUGUAUUACUUGUUCUGAACAGCAUCCCAAACAUAAAUGUACAUGGAAAGCAAAAAGUAAGCACUGGCAGAGUGCUUGUCCCAGUGACAUCUUUACACAGUGUUUGUGGCCUCUACAUUAUUAGACAUAAUGGGACAAAUUCUCUCAGCCUCUCUCCUGCAGUUUCAUUGCUUUACAUGGCACUGCACUGAUGUCACUGAGAGCACCUGGCCCAAUCUUCUUCUUUUUUCUUUUUUAAAAUAAGCUCCUAUGCUUGGGAGCACAGUAUUCCAUAGAAAUUCAAAGGUCAAUUACAUCAAAUUACAGAAGCCCUCCUUCAGGUCUGCACUGUACUUUUACAAGGAGGCUCAGCUCACCCUUUCCCCUGAAGAGCAAAACCCUGCAUCUGUCAACGAUGGGAUCUGUUGUGAGAUUUUUGUUAGAGCCCCUUAAUACAAACCUUUUUGAAAUUUAACAGUUAAUUCCUUCAGCUCCAUAACUAAAGUCCUCAUGAAAUAAAGGUUUGUAGAGUAAGGCUUAGAAUUCCCAUAUGUCUGUUCUACUGACCUUUAAGGAAAGAAGUUCCAUGUUGGUAACAUAAAAAUGUUCUUUACAUUAUUCUGAUCACUUUUUCAAAUUGAACAAGAAAAAUAUACAGUGUUGCUUUUCUGUACAUCUUUAAAAUGUUCUUAAAUUAAUGUACAUAAAAAAGUCAUUCCCAUUUGCCAUAAUGGGAGAUGUGCACAGGUGCGUGCACAGCCACACAUACACACACUUAAACAUACCACACAUACACACAUUUAUUAGAGGGAAGAGACAUGCCAUAUGUAGUCACCUGCCAGUUUGUUAUUCUACAAUUACAACUAGUAGAUAAGGAUGAAAUGUUAAGAAUUGCUGAUAACAUACAGGUGAAAAAACCUGAAUAAUCCAGUACAUGUUGUAUACCAAAAGUUGGUAACUGUGGUAACUUCUUGGUAGGAUUUCAUCCUGUCCAAUAUCUAUUACAUCAUGGCUAAAAUUUUGUUAAGGUACCAAUUAUGAAAAGAUUAUGCCAGGACAGAAAAUUCUACCAAGUUCUUCUUACUAAAUUUCUCUUUUGAUAAAGUCUGUAAGUAAACACACCUUGGUUUCGAGUAUGUUUUUUCACAACAUAUUGAAUAAGACAUACAAUUUAUUAAUGAAAAUGCCUGAUUUUUUUUUUUUGGUGGUAUAAUCUUUUGUGUAAAGUUCCCAAU